GUGCUCACUUCAGUAGCACAUAUACUAAAAUUGGAACGAUACAGAGAAGAUUAGCUUGGCCCCUGCACAAGGAUGACACACAAAUUUGUGAAGCAUUCCAUAUUUAA
ensembl:snRNA U6 U6 spliceosomal RNA